rnacentral:rRNA from 1 species
CGAUUCCUACGGGAGGCAGCAGUGGGGAAUAUUGCACAAUGGGCGCAAGCCUGAUGCAGCCAUGCCGCGUGUAUGAAGAAGGCCUUCGGGUUGUAAAGUACUUUCAGCGAGGAGGAAGGCGUUAAGGUUAAUAACCUUGGCGAUUGACGUUACUCGCAGAAGAAGCACCGGCUAACUCCGUGCCAGCAGCCGCGGUAAUACGGAGGGUGCAAGCGUUAAUCGGAAUUACUGGGCGUAAAGCGCACGCAGGCGGUCUGUCAAGUCGGAUGUGAAAUCCCCGGGCUCAACCUGGGAACUGCAUUCGA